rnacentral:rRNA from 1 species
UACAGAGGUCUCAAGCGUUGUUCGGAUUCAUUGGGCGUAAAGGGUGCGUAGGCGGCGCGCUAAGUCAGGUGUGAAAUCUCGGGGCUUAACUCCGAAACUGCAUUUGAUACUGGCGUGCUUGAGGACUGGAGAGGAGAGUGGAAUUCCUGGUGUAGCGGUGAAAUGCGCAGAUAUCAGGAAGAACACCCGUGGCGAAGGCGGCUCUCUGGAACGCAACUGACGCUGAGACGCGAAAGCGUGGGGAGCGAACAGG